UACGUAGGUGGCAAGCGUUGUCCGGAUUUAUUGGGUUUAAAGGGUGCGUAGGCGGCUUUGUAAGUCAGUGGUGAAAUAUGGCAGCUUAACUGUCAGGGUGCCAUUGAUACUGCGGAGCUUGAGUACAGAUGAGGUAGGCGGAAUUGACGGUGUAGCGGUGAAAUGCUUAGAUAUCGUCAAGAACACCUAUAGCGAAGGCAGCUUACUAGGCUGUAACUGACGCUGAGGCACGAAAGUGUGGGGGAUCAAACAGG
rnacentral:rRNA from 1 species